AAGUCCAGCUUUUCCGUGAAUUUAACAGUUUUAUCCUGUUGUCGAUGUGUAUUUAUUUUCUUGAAAAUAAGCAGAUUGAGACAUCAGAUGGGAGAAAGGCUUGACUAUGUCGCCAGCAGCCUCAUGCCAAAUUCCUGAUCCCUGGAGGACAGAGCCCCCCUCCUGCUCCAAGGCCAGGAGAUGGCACCACUGGACAGUGAGUCUGGGAUUCCUAGCACACACUUGUGAUUGCUGGUCCAGGAAAAAGAAGCAGGAAGGGCCAUUAGUACAAUCAAUCAGGAAAUUCUGCUUAAGUGCACAUUUCUCCCCAGGAGAGUCGGGUCACUGCACUGGGAGGAAGCCCGCUUGCCAAGGGCUGUGUCUGGAACCUAUUCAUCGCGCUCCACUCAGCACGCUGACAGACACCCACAGACGUGUCUGUAGCAUCCUCUGUCACACUGGGACCCGUACUGGCAGCAGGAGCCGUAGGGAGGACUGGGACACCUGGAAGCCAGGAAUUGGUGAGUGUGCGGGGCUGAGGGUCCCGAGACUAGGAUGGGACUGGUUGGAACCGGCAGGAAUAGACCGUGGCGGGACCCGGGCCUCUUCGUAGGUGACUCUGGGUUCUGAGACCCAAGUCCCCCUGGCGCAGCUCGGCCCUGGUUCCUCUUAGGCCGCAGGGUGGGGCUGCGACGCAGCCGGGACCCCUAGCCGUCCGGUCCAGUCCCUGCACAACUGACUGCGGCCCCAGGCCCAGC
rnacentral:lncRNA from 1 species